rnacentral:rRNA from 1 species
AUUGAACGCUGGCGGAAUGCGUUACACAUGCAAGUCGAGCGGCAGCGCGGGGGCAACCCUGGCGGCGAGCGGCGAACGGGUGAGUAACACAUCGGAACGUACCCAGUCGUGGGGGAUAGCCCGGCGAAAGCCGGAUUAAUACCGCAUACGACCUGAGGGUGAAAGGGGGGGAUCGCAAGACUUCUCGCCGUUGCAGCGGCCGAUGGCGGAUUAGCUAGUUGGUGAGGUAAAGGCUCACCAAGGCGACGAUCCGUAGCUGGUCUGAGAGGACGACCAGCCACACUGGAACUGAGACACGGUCCAGACUCCUACGGGAGGCAGCAGUGGGGAAUUUUGGACAAUGGGGGCAACCCUGAUCCAGCCAUUCCGCGUGAGUGAAGAAGGCCUUCGGGUUGUAAAGCUCUUUCGGCAGGAACGAAACGGUGGAGGCUAGUACCUUUCAUCAAUGACGGUACCUGAAGAAGAAGCACCGGCUAACUACGUGCCAGCAGCCGCCGUAA